UACGUAGGGUGCGAGCGUUGUCCGGAAUUACUGGGCGUAAAGAGCUCGUAGGUGGUUUGUCGCGUUGUUCGUGAAAUCUCACGGCUUAACUGUGAGCGUGCGGGCGAUACGGGCAGACUAGAGUACUGCAGGGGAGACUGGAAUUCCUGGUGUAGCGGUGGAAUGCGCAGAUAUCAGGAGGAACACCGGUGGCGAAGGCGGGUCUCUGGGCAGUAACUGACGCUGAGGAGCGAAAGCGUGGGGAGCGAACAGGAUUAGAUACCCUGGUAGUCCACGCCGUAAACGGUGGGUACUAGGUGUGGGUUUCCUUCCUUGGGAUCCGUGCCGUAGCUAACGCAUUAAGUACCCCGCCUGGGGAGUACGGCCCGCAAGGCUAAAACUC
rnacentral:rRNA from 1 species